UCUCACCCUGCAUUCAGGUGGUUGUGGAGAAUGAUAAGGUCUCCCUUGAGCCUCCUUCAGGGUCAAUCCCACUCCCAGCUCCCAGCCAUUCCUCAUAGGUCUUGUGCUUCAGACCCUUCCCUUCCUUAUUUACUGACCUUUGGAGUUCAGCCUCUUGAAUCAUGAACACCUCCUGUGCCCUCACAGUCUUGUGAUUUUCAACAUGGUUUUGCCUGAUCUAGGGAGUCAGUGUAGAUUCUUGGGGAACCUGUCAGAUUAUGCAGGGAAAGCAAGUUGCCAUAAACAAAUCGGUGGUAGUGCACUCCUGAAGGUUUGCGUGUCUUCAGUAGGAAAGAUCAUUAAAUCAAAACUACUGCUUUAGGUGGCCUUUGAGGGAUAGGUUAUCAUCUGUAUGUCCUUUAUAUCGAAGAAAUUGUUUAGUGUGAGGGUGGUGAGGCACUGGCACAGAGUGGCAACCUAGUGAGGUUGUGGAUGCUCCAUCCCUGCAGCUGUUCCAAGGCCGGGUUGGGUGUGGCUCUGAGCAACCACCUCUUGUGGAAGCUGUUGGAACUAGGUGAUCUUUAAGGUCCUUUCCAAUACAAGCCUUUUUAUGAGUCCGUGUUCUGUCUUGUGUAGUUUGAGUUGUUAUGAAGGGUUUCCUGUCGUUCCUUCAAAUAACUAGUGUGGCCUGUGAACCACGAAGUUAAUAUUAAAUGUAGUGUUAGUUGGAGGAAGGAAAAAAAAUUUGUGAUCUGAAUGCUGUACCUAGUGAUCUUAGAAUUUAUGAAGUUAAAGGUUUUGUUUCUGUUUUCCUGUGCCCUCUUUGCUUCUUUGAGUAGUUGCACUGAUGCAGAUGUGCAAGACCUUGGCUUUCUCACGUGCUCGUGCUCAUCCAUAUGAUACUAAUCGUGAUGGUGACACCUGGGGAGUAGUUAAUGAAAAUCCAAAAGUGCAAGGAAAAACAUUACUUGGAGAUAGAAUAUGUGUGAAGGAGAUGUCAGUCACCAAUUCCAUUAAACCCAAGCUUUUGUAGUGAAGAACAGCAUUUUCUUGUUAGUGUGCACAACAUUAGAAUGAAGUGGCUUUGCUUUGCCUAGGUUUUUUUUUUUUUCAUUUUUUGAAUGUGUACAGUGUUGGGGUUUUGUGCAUAAGAUGGAAUUUACAGACAGACUGGCACAUGAAAUAUGGUUGAACUGGAAUUGUUCUGUGGCUCCUGUGUUUGAAUUCCUAACGUGGUUUAGAAUUUAAAUAUUCUCUUUCUCAGGAAAACAGAAGGGCUGCAUUGGAUGGAUGACCCCAUCAGUCAAAUAAAAACAUUGGUUUCAGAUA